UACACACCGCCCGUCACACCAUGAGAGCAAUUUGCACCCAAAGUUACUUUAGCUAACCUGCAAAGGGGGCGGGUACCUAAGGUGCGGGUAGUGAUUGUGGUG
rnacentral:rRNA from 1 species